UACGGAGGGUGCAAGCGUUAUCCGGAUUUACUGGGUUUAAAGGGUGCGUAGGUGGGUCUGUAAGUCAGUGGUGAAAUCUCCGGGCUUAACCCGGAAACUGCCAUUGAUACUAUAGGUCUUGAAUACCCUGGAGGUAAGCGGAAUAUGUCAUGUAGCGGUGAAAUGCUUAGAUAUGACAUAGAACACCAAUUGCGAAGGCAGCUUACUACGGGGUUAUUGACACUGAGGCACGAAAGCGUGGGGAUCAAACAGG
rnacentral:rRNA from 1 species